CUUUGCUCUCUCGUUGCUCAAAACGAGCCGAGGUAUAUAAAUGGAAGAGCGUCACUCGCGAGCAAUUGUUGUUUCUGCGCCGUCGGCGUGGCGCCCGCGUUUCUGCGCUCCUUUCGAAAAAUAGUUGAGGAAUUUUAAAGUAAAAUGUCAUAAACAAAUAGUAGUUAGUAACUGAAAUUAAAUUGGUUUACGCGUGUUUUCUGCGUUCGCCUUUUGCGUGCCAGUGUGUGUUCGUAUGUCGUUCUUAACUAAAAUUGCCGUUGAUUACAAGCCGAGCUCACUCACACACACACGCAUGCUCUAUCGCACACACUCGAGACUUUACUUUACCGAUAUGUACAUAAUACAAAAAAUGAGCGAAUGAACGAACGGAUGCACGCAGCAUUUACAGUUGAGUUUAAAUGUGACUUCUUAUUAGAAAUGAUUUAGUUUCAAUAGCGAUUUGAUAUAAGCGAAUUUCCAAAACGAAACGACGCCGCGUGUGUAUUUUGUAUGUAUAUAUAUAUAUGUAUGUAUGCAUGUGCCUGUGUGUAAUUCGCCAUACUUCUUCAAUUCAAAGAACAGACAGAAGAAGAACACAACAACAAGAAGGCAAGACAUACUUGAAAAAUAAAAGCAACUACAACAGCUAUCGCUAUCAACUUGAGCCAUCAGCGCAGGCUCUCUUGUGCACUCUCCCGUUCCAUCCCGCUCUUUACUGUUUAGCUGUACGCGUGUGUAAGCUUCGCUUUGUUAGUGUAUGGGUAUGUAUAUAAGCGGGCGAAAAAAAACCUAUAUAUUACGCUCAAUUUUCCCUAUAUUUUUUGCGCCUGCCAAUAAGCGGUUCUUUGGUGGAGUUGCCACACUGCCGCGCAGAUCGUGGAAUUUUUAAUUGGAAUUGGGAAAGAUUCGUUGCGUACUCAUGCACAUCUGUAUUUGCGUGUGUGUGUGCUUGUUUGUAGACCUGAUAAGACGCAGAGAAAGCAGAAAAGAGACGCUGCUUAUCAACGCUACAAAAAAAAAAAUAGAAGAAGAAACGAACUAAAUGGGUCGACCACAUUGUCGUGUAUUGUUUUUGCACUAUCGCUUAAUAAUUGAAAUUAAAGAGGAGGCAAGAGAAACAGAACUCAAAAAUCCCAUUACAAUAGAAUUGGAAUUUGAAUCGGAGCUGGAAAUGAAACUGGAAUUCAUACUACUGUUUUUAGUGGGUGGGGGUCCAGUGUUUCACAUUGAUUUUCUUAGUAUUUGUGACUAGAUCCACACUCAUUAAUAACGGUAGUUCAAUCAUCGAGCACGUGUUUUCUGCACUUCUGGACAGUAACUUAUUCCUUCCAAGGGAGGAAAAGGGACAAACAGGUGGUGUUCUUAAAAACAACAAAAUGUAAUUAGUCAACGUCUCGCACGCACACAACGUCAUUCAGACAGAACGACAAAAAAAAAAGAAAAAGAGCACCUGUUCGAGUGCCCAAAAGAGAGCGAAAGAGAGCAAAAGGAAGAGUGAUAGCGGAAGAACGACUUGAUUGCAGCCCCGAAACUAAAAUUAAAAUUAAUGCUAAUUUGGAUUAUUUUCGGGCCUAGGAAAGCGACCCAGAAAACGAUCCCCAAAUUCAAAAUUAAUUGUAGCUAAGAAGUGGGAAAAUUGUUAGCCGAGCUAACAAAGGUUAAAAGUUCAACAACUGUUGCCAGCUGACUCACAACGUCUUUUCAACGUACAGUUGCUGUGGAAAUAAUAGUGUUUUCAGUAUAACUCUAAAAAAUCAGGAGAAAAGGAUGUAUUUAUGUAGUUUUUUAAUUUGCUUAUCCAAUCCGAUGGGGAAAUCAUUCUAAAUAACGAAUAAUACAUUUAGAAAACAACAAUGUAUUAUAAAUUUCCAUAUUUAUACACUCUAUUUGUACAGUUUUCCGAGAGCCUGGUUCUGCGGUUUAGCCCGGCAACUGUGUAUUUAUUCUCUAUUCCUGUAGUUCCGCCUCCCCAACUCCUAUGACUUGUUCUUCUCUGGUUUCUACCGGAACAAAUUGCUAAAAUACUAAAUUCUGAGAAGACAACGCUGUGGCAUAGUUCAGAUUGAUAGUUAUAUAUGUGUAUAUACACCCCCGACUUGGCAAACAAACAAUAAUUUCCGUCGAAUAAUGUGGAUGGCCUGUCAUCUCGCAUAUGUAUCGGAUUUUAUCCAACUUUGUCCUCCCUUUUUUGUGCCUCGAUCAGCAGAAAUUGAAACUGCAACGACGCCACAAUUCUCAAACAGUUCUGAUUCUGAUUCUGUCGGCUUUUCGUCUGAGAAGAAUCGCUGGGCGGGAAUAAGGGGCCGAUAUAUACAUAUAUUUAUAUAUGUGUGUGGUAUUGUAUAAAUCAGCAGAAAAAACAGCAAACGCGGACAAGCGAACAAAAAAUAAUAAACCUUAAUUCGAAGCUCGGAGCUUGAUUCAUUCAUAUUACCCGGGGAUCUGAAAGCACAAACAAAAAAUAGAGAGAGGGAGAGAGAGAGAGAGAGAGAGAGAGUGAGACGGGAGGGCAGCGGACUGCUGACUGACCACCCAAUUGAGCUAUGAAAACCGAUCAAACCGAUCGCAAUUGUUGCCAGGCACGAGAGCAAUGACAUGACAUGCAAAAGCAGCAGCAGCAGUCGUAGUUGGAAAACCAAAACUAAACUUAAACCAAACCCAAAAAGAAAAACCAAACCCAAUCACCAAUCACAACAGAAAUGCCACAGAAAGUCGUGCUGGGGCAAUAAUCAUCAUCCGCGAAUGGGGAAGGAAAGGAAGGAUGCUCUUUUCUGACUCUAUUUUGUCGGCGAACAUGGAUCUAGUGCACGGUGGUUCAUGAUUAAGUUCGUGACUAGAUUUCAUGCUCGUCUAUUAAGUUGGGUCAGCACAACGAAGAGAGCUUUUCUCCCCGAGGAGCUGAUGGAGAAGGGGACUUUUCUACUGGUUGAGUGGCCAAUUAGCAGACGCAUUAAUUAUGGGAAAUGUGCAUUUGCCUGAUUGACCCGUGACCCACAUAGAGUGGCACACGCCCUGCACAAAUAACUCCCGAAAAUGAGGGCGUGUUUAAAUAAUAAAAGUAAAUAGAGUCAACGGCCGACUGUCCCGCAUGCUGUAUGUGCCCACAACUUACUCUAAAAAAAAGAAACGUAAGUCGUUUUGCGAUUUGUGCUGCCAACAGUUGCAGAAUGUGGAAAACCAAGACCCGCGACAACCAAUUUAUGGGUUGGCGACACGCGAUUAAAAAUCGAAUCCAAACGGCCCGUACAGAAGCCCAGAAACCCAGGGAACUGCAACUCCCAUAGAUUUCCGUGUGAAAAACUCAGCGAGGGUUGUUGCUGUGGCGCCUGCGGGCCAAAGGAAUGAAGCCGGAACACCUUUCAACCCUGUUGCCAGCCAUUGUUAAUACCAUAGCCACUACUAUAUGGUAGCUACUCCUCCUACACGAUCGCAUUCGCAUUGGCUUCACGCUCAUUUAAAUACCAACGCACUGGGUGAAAAGAGAGGGCGCUGCAACAGAGGAGCAGUCAUCUAACAAAACAUUAGUUGCUUGCUCGGCUGGCUCGAUGGAUAGCUAGCUGAUUUACAUAUUUUCUAAAUGAAUAUAUGUUGUAUGUGGCAGCUACGAGUUUGCAGCAGCACCACCGACGGUGGCAGCAGAUUUCCCUGCACUGGAUUUCCACUUCCUCCUGGACGACGCAUCAGCAGCAGAAGUAGCAACAAGAAGCCGUCAAACGCUGCAACUAAUUGAUAUAAUAGUUAAAAUAACAAACUAACGAGAAAGAGCUUGUCGUCGGCGAACGCGCGGCGUUGCUGAAGUGCAAAACCUUUCCAAUUUGAGAAUAGCUUUCCUGCUAUGUGUGCUCGUUCCCACAAGCAGCAAUGCAGAACUUGAACUCUACAGCUCCACGGCGUCAUCAUCAUCAUCAUCAUCAGCAGCAGCAGCCUCAGCGUCAUUAUUAUCUUCAUCGACGGCAGCUGGAAAAAUGUUUACCCCAAUCCCCGAGACACAAUCGCAGUCCCAAUGCGCGGCAUUUCCGUUCGGGAAAAAAGGAGGAUGCAGCCGAGGCUCUAUAGAUCGGUUCGGUGCUGAUGGGUUUUGCAAGGGGACGUAGUAGUAAUCAUAUUUAUUACAUCUAAAUAAAGUACGUGUAAUGUA